GUAAAAUAAAAAAAAAAAAAAUGCUUUAAAGAAAAUUUAAAAGUUCUUGUCGUUUUUAAAUUAAUGUAUCAAAAAUCCACCGUAGCAUAAUAUAUGUUGAGGUAUUCCCAUUCUAUUUUAUAACAAUAGUGAUUUUACGUAUUCUACUUUUUGGCGUUAAACCCACUGUAAUGGAAAAACGGAGCGAGUAUUUUAUUUUUUACCGUAAGCCAGUCUGUGAGGCAGUGUCUGAAAUGUCUGUGUAGCGUGAUUUAAGUGACAAAAUAUGUGAAAUAUCUCGUACGCGUUAUACCUAUACUAAGUAUCCCAAUGACAUUUCACUCGGAUGAAUUUAUGCAUUCUAUUCCAACAAGUUAUUAAAAUACAAUGCACGGUACAAUUCAGUUAACAUAGGUACCUACUGUGUUUUAUAAGUUACGAACGUAUAGUCAUAUUCAACGUAGUUAUUUUUUACGUGUUCUAAACGCACAGUGCAAUUCCAGAAUAUAAAAUUAUGUUGAUAACAUAUUAUAUAUAUAACAACAUUUUACGUACUUAAAGAAAAAAGUCACGGAUUGUAUUUGACAUGAAUAAUGUACAUUUUUCGGUCAAAAAUCAGCAUGCAAAGAGUUUUGCUAUAUUUACGGUUAGAAACAUUUAUUUUUAUUCUUAUAAAGCCCUAAGAAUCUUAAAUAAUCGUUUAAAAUAAAUUGAAAUACAUCUACACAUGAA